GACGAACGCUGGCGGCGUGCCUAACACAUGCAAGUCGAGCGAUGAAGCCCUUCGGGGUGGAUUAGCGGCGGACGGGUGAGUAACACGUGGGUAACCUGCCUCAAAGAGGGGGAUAGCCUCCCGAAAGGGAGAUUAAUACCGCAUAACAUUAGUUUUUCGCAUGGAGAACUAAUUAAAGGAGUAAUCCGCUUUGAGAUGGACCCGCGGCGCAUUAGCUAGUUGGUGAGGUAAAGGCUCACCAAGGCGACGGUGCGUAGCCGACCUGAGAGGGUGAUCGGCCACAUUGGAACUGAGACACGGUCCAGACUCCCACGGGAGGCAGCAGUGGGGAAUAUUGCACAAUGGGGGAAACCCUGAUGCAGCAACGCCGCGUGAGUGAAGAAGGCCUUCGGGUUGUAAAGCUCUGUCAUUGGGGACGAUAGUGACGGUACCCAAUGAGGAAGCCACGGCUAACUACGUGCCAGCCGCCGCCGUAAAAC
rnacentral:rRNA from 1 species